UUGGCCAUAUCACAUUGAAACAUUGGUUCUCAUACAAUCAUUGAAGUUAAGCAACAUCAAGCCUGGUGAGUACCUAGAUGGGUGACUACUUGGGAAUACCAGGUGCUGUAAG
rnacentral:rRNA from 1 species